AUUGAACGCUGGCGGCAUGCCUUACACAUGCAAGUCGAACGGCAGCACGGGAGCAAUCCUGGUGGCGAGUGGCGAACGGGUGAGUAAUAUAUCGGAACGUGCCCAGUCGUGGGGGAUAACGUAGCGAAAGCUACGCUAAUACCGCAUACGAUCUAUGGAUGAAAGCGGGGGAUCGCAAGACCUCGCGCGAUUGGAGCGGCCGAUAUCAGAUUAGGUAGUUGGUGAGGUAAAGGCGUCACCAAGCCGACGAUCUGUAGCUGGUCUGAGAGGACGACCAGCCACACUGGGACUGAGACACGGCCCAGACUCCUACGGGAGGCAGCAGUGGGGAAUUUUUGGACAAUGGGCGCAAGCCUGAUCCAGCAAUGCCGCGUGCAGGAUGAAGGCCUU
rnacentral:rRNA from 1 species